rnacentral:rRNA from 1 species
AUUGAACGCUGGCGGCAGGCCUAACACAUGCAAGUCGAACGAGUGGCGGACGGGGGAGUAAUGUCUGGGAAACAGCCUGAUGGAGGGGGAUAACUACUGGAAACGGUAGCUAAUACCGCAUACCCUCGGAUGUGCCCAGACGGGAUUAGCUAGUGGGUGGGGUAACGGCUCACCUAGGCGACGAUCCCUAGCUGGUCUGAGAGGAUGACCAGCCACACGGGAACGGAGAAACGGUCCAGACUCCUACGGUAGGCAGCAGUGGGGAAUAUUGCACAAUGGGCGCAAGCCUGAUGCAGCCAUGCCGCGUGUAUGAAGAAGGCCUUCGGGUUGUAAAGUACUUUCAGCGAGGAGGCGUUACCCGCAGAAGAAGCACCGGCUAACGCCGUGCCAGCAGCCGCGGUAAUUC